UUCCAGGUUGAUCCUGCCGGAGGCUACCGCUAUUGGAGUACGAUUAAGCCAUGCGAGUCGAGAGUCCUCUGGGACUCGCGCGUACCUGCUCCAGUAACACUGUGGAGUACACCUGACCACUAUGCUUGGGUGAAUACACCUCUGGGACAACUGAGACAUAAUGCCCCACUAGCCCACAUACAGCACUGGAACUGGUGAGUAGGGUCAACAGCUCCGGCGUGGACUAAGAUGUGGCCUGCGCCUGUAUCAGAGUUGUAGGUGGGUGUAAAAGUACACCUCUUAGCCAAUACAACCGCUGUACAGCGCGUUGUUGAGGAAGACAAUUUGCACUGAGAAACUGGAUUCAUUGAGACACCGAUAUCCAUGACACCUA
rnacentral:rRNA from 1 species